AGCAGGGUAAACUGGCACAACUCGCCAACGAGGCGCGACGCAUGAAGCUAGAAAUCCUGGGACUGAGUGAAGUUCGUUGGCCAAACUUUGGAGAACACAAACUACCGUCGGGACAGGUACUACUAUACUCUGGUGAAAACGCUCCCCGCCACCGUGGAGUUGGUUUCCUGCUUAGCGCCCAAGCAAAUGCGGCGCUCAUCAAGUGGGAACCUAUCAAUGAGAGGAUAAUCGUUGCCAGAUUCAGAACGCGGGUUCGUAACCUAACCAUAAUCCAA